rnacentral:rRNA from 1 species
UGAGGAAUAUUGGUCAAUGGGCGAGAGCCUGAACCAGCCAAGUAGCGUGCAGGAUGACGGCCCUAUGGGUUGUAAACUGCUUUUAUGGGGGGAUAAAGUGCGUGACGUGUCAUGCAUUGCAGGUACCACAUGAAUAAGGACCGGCUAAUUCCGUGCCAGCAGCCGCGGUAAUACGGAAGGUCCGGGCGUUAUCCGGAUUUAUUGGGUUUAAAGGGAGCGUAGGCUGUCUAUUAAGCGUGUUGUGAAAUUUACCGGCUCAACCGGUGGCUUGCAGCGCGAACUGGUCGACUUGAGUAUGCAGGAAGUAGGCGGAAUUCAUGGUGUAGCGGUGAAAUGCUUAGAUAUCAUGACGAACUCCGAUUGCGCAGGCAGCUUACUGUAGCAUAACUGACGCUGAUGCUCGAAAGUGCGGGUAUCAAACAGG